GGUGUGAGUGCAGGGCCUCCACCUGUGCCCAGGGCCAGGGCCGGUGGGGGCUCAGGGCAGAGCAGCAGGAGCGUGGGGUGUGUGCUGGCAUGUGGGACCGGAGUGGCCAGCAGGCAGGUGGAGAGGUGAGGAGAGGUGGCGGUGGUGGCAAGAAGCUGUGGCAACAAGCGGUGGUGCAUUUGUGACUGCUGCUGUUCUAUGUCUGGUCUCAGCGCAAGUGAUGGGAAGGAAGUGAAAGGAGAAAGGAUAUGACUAAGGACUUGGCUGAAAAGGCCUUUUGUUCUCAUUACAUUUUGUUUUUAAAAUAAAAAUGAUCUUCACA